ACGAGCCCAUUACGAUUUCGCGUCCAAAGUGUUUCCGUAUCUAUUUUUAUUAGGUUGAAUUCUAUCUCUUUCUGGGGUAUCUCUUUUAGAUUUAUUUUCGUGUGGUGAAAAAUAUGAUUUUGUGUCUGCUGAUUUUUUUUCUUCUAAUUUCGUGACGAUAACCCAGCGUUCUUUGUCCCCAUUUCUUUUUUUUUUUUACAUUUAUGAUUAUUUACAAAAUGAUGAAACGAGAGUGGGAGUAUAAAAAAAGAAAGAAGGAAAAAGAUAUGAAAGUACUGAGAAAAAGAUAUGAAGAACGUGAAGAAAAUGGACGAAGAAAAAAGAAAAGUAAAAAGUAACAAACAAAAACUACUGUACAUCCAAAAAAUUGGAAAAGAUAAGAAACUAAGAUAAAGAUAGAAAAAAAAAAACAUAUCAAACUUAUACGGAAACACUUCGACUAGUGUACCAAGUCGUAGGGAUAAGUGCGUAAAACAUAUUAAGCCUAAAAGCCAAGAAGACAAGGAGCGCCCGUAUCCCUUAAAUCUGACAUGCCGUAAAUCUAACCUUUCUUCUGUCACGCUCGACCAUUCACCUUUGGAAUUCUUGCUAAGUUUCGCACAGGGUCACUCGGCUACCUUCGAUAUGCUCUCGACGUUGCGUUAUCCAGGGCGCGGCGUACCUUCUACCUCGACUCCUCUCCUAAAGAGACUCCUCACCUGCCCGUCCGCAGCCUGCCCUACACUGGGGAGAUCUACUCUCUCCGUCACCCUCUUCACCCUCUCAACUGCAGGCUUAUCUUUCGCCGGGUGAACGCUCUCCGUCGCAAUCUGGUCCACACCAGCCCUCCCUCUACCUCGAAGACACGGGCCAUCAGAUUGGAUUGGUCACCUGCACGUACCGUCUUCCCUUCCGCUGAAGUCCACGCCCGCAUACUCAUGGAAUCCUCCCUAAUCCUUAAGUUGUUGCCUAACUUCAACUUGAAAAGCAGCUUUUCUUCUGCCAACAGACUCCUCGCUUCCCACAUCCUCCGCCUUCUCCCUUAUGUCAGCCAACCUUCGCACAGACCGCCGGAUUCUUUGACUUGAUCUGACUUACCUUUAUUUCCGUUCGCCUGUCUUCACCUGCUCCGUGUUCACCGCGUUGCCUCUCCUUUCUCUCUUUUGUAAAGGGUAAGGUUCUUCCCAUUGCUAGGCCUAUAUAGGUCUAAAACACUAAUCAAGGCGUAUUUGCAGAAGGACGUAGCCACGAUUCCUAACCUAAAAUCAUGGGUUAUGAGUCAGAGGGUUACGAAAUGCGUAAGUCUUAUUGGUAAACUCCGUGUGUCUUGUGUUUUGCAUAGUGGUGUAACUGGGGGCGUUGAAUUAACGUGCGUCAAGGUCAGGGUAGGUAGUAACAGCUUAUUUUCACACUGAGGGAAUAAUGGAUUAAUUGGGUGAAUGAGAAGGAGUAAUUGAGGAAGGAAGUGAGAUGACGGAGAGAAAUAAAAGAGGAGAAGAGAAAGAAUAUCGAGAGAUGAUGUUUCCAACAAGCAAGACAGAUUAAAAAAAGAUAAAACGAAAAAUGAAAAGAAAGAAAAAAAAGGUUACAUAAAUGAAAUAAGACAGGGAGAAAAAAAAUCAGAAGACAAUAAUCAGAAAAAAGAACACAAGCAAACUGAACUAGACAACAUUAACAACUACAAAAGAAGCAGAACAGUUAUACGAACGUAUUUAUAACUGCCUUUACGUACCUGAUUCACAUUUCGCCACGCAUCUUACUAGUGAUAAUCGAAGGUAAUUUUGCAGAGGCAGAGAUUCAUGAUACCUCCUUAGUUCCUCACCCUAUCCCCCUACCCAUUCCCACCUCCCUCUCUAUUCCCACCUCCCUCCCCCCCUCUGUAAUACUCGUGCGGUUCCCCCCUCCUUCCUGCCCCCUCCCGCCCUCCCCCUUCUACCACUGCAGGAGGAACUUUAGUAUUUCCGCGCUUCAUCUGAAAUACGAAAAAGGUGUUGUUAUAUUUCAUCGUUCAAAUUCUGGCCAUAUGCGGGGUUAUUGAAUAAUGAAGUAAUGUUAAUGGUAUUAAGAAAUAUUGUAGGCGGAUAAAAAAAUAAAAUGUUGAAGAUAUAAAGAUUGAGAUUAUUCUAUUUAUACUUUUUUUUUGAAGAAUGAAGGAGAGACAGAAUGUAAGAAUAUCGAUUUAUAUUAACGAGUAAUAGAAAAAUAAGACGUAGAGAGUGACAAAUAAUCGUAAUGAAAGUAAGACUUGUAUGAAAAUAAAAAUAAAAAACAAAAGGCAUUCAGAGGAAAAAACGGAUCGAUAAAACACAUAAACAGAUUGAUAAAAGACAAACCAAGAAUAUGAAUAACUAAAUAAAUAAAGGGAACAGACAAACCGAAAACAUGAAUGAAAGAAAGAAAAAGUAAGAACAAACAGACACAGAGAGCGAGACGCGAAACAAAGAAAGCAUAUUAAGAAGGGUCAUCUCUUAUUCACGCACCGUGUCCCUGUCCACAUAACAGAAUUAACCAGCCUCGCCGGAUCUGCCUUACGACCACCUCUGCCGUUCGGUUGCUGUUCCUUUGGCGGAGACAGAGAUUCUGAGUCGAUGGUAUAAGUAUCGAAGGUAAUUUUGCAAAGGCAGAGGUUCGUGAUUUCGAGUCGGUGGUAUACGAAUCGAUGGUAAUUUUGCAAAG